rnacentral:tRNA from 1 species
GCGGCUUUUGCCGUGGUCACCAACGCUUCGGCGGCUUUGAUUUGCCGCGGGACACGCCCGAUCGCGCCGUUCAAAUCGGUACGCUGUUCC